CCAGUUUUCACCUCCUCCCUCUCAGCAUCCCGGUCUAUGAGGCAGGAGUGUGGGGGCUGGGGUGGGGGGAUGGGGAGAGGGAAGCUGGGGAUUCCUCUGUGAGCCACAGUGUCACCAGGAGCGGUGAUUAGCCGAGCUGCUGGCUGUGUAAUUGGUGUGUGCCCGCGUCCCCGGGGGUCUGGUGUGUUAACAGCGGGUCCCUGCGAACUCUGCAAGCAGGGAAAUCACAGAAUAGAAGAAGAAAAAAUUAAAAGACAUCAUUGGAACUUACAGAAGAAGGGCCAUGUGAAGACACAAAGAGAAGAUUGCCAUGUACAAACCAAGGAGACAGGACUCUGAAGAAACCAAAACUGCCAAUGACUUGAUCUUGGGCUUCUAGCCUUCAGAACCGUGAUAAAUAUUUUUGUUUAAGCCAGAAAUAAAAAGACAUAAUUGAUUUUUUUAAAAAGCCA
rnacentral:lncRNA from 1 species